GAUGAACGCUGGCGGCGUGCCUAAUACAUGCAAGUCGAGCGAACAGAUGAGGAGCUUGCUCCUCUGACGUUAGCGGCGGACGGGUGAGUAACACGUGGAUAACCUACCUAUCAGACUGGGAUAACUUCGGGAAACCGGAGCUAAUACCGGAUAAUAUAUUGAACCGCAUGGUUCAAUAGUGAAAGACGGUUUUGCUGUCACUUGUGGAUGGAUCCGCGCCGCAUUAGCUAGUUGGUAAGGUAACGGCUUACCAAGGCGACGAUGCGUAGCCGACCUGAGAGGGUGACCGGCCACACUGGGAAUGAGAGACGGCCCAGACUCCUACGGGAGGCAGCAGGGGGGAAGAGUGAACAAUGGGCGCAAGCCUGAUGCAGCAACGCCGCGUGCGGGAUGACGGCCUUCGGGUGGGAAACCGCUUUCGCCAGGGAAGAAGCGUGAGUGACGGUAAUUGCUAAAGAAGCGCCGGCUAACUACGUG
rnacentral:rRNA from 1 species